GUCGAGAAUAAUUCACAAUGGACGAAAGUCUGAUGGUGCAACGCCGCGUGGAGGAUGACGGUCUUCGGAUUGUAAACUCCUGUCAUCCGGGAGUAAGACCUGGCUGUGAAUAGCAGACAGGGUUGAUAGUACCGGAAGAGGAAGGGACGGCUAACUUCGUGCCAGCAGCCGGGGUAAUACGAAGGUCCCGAGCGUUGUUCGGAAUCACUGGGCGUAAAGGGAGCGUAGGCGGCGUGGUAAGUCAGAUGUGAAAUCCCGGGGCUCAAACCGGGAACUGCAUCGGAUACUGCUGUGCUAGAGGAUUGGAGAGGUAGCUGGAAUUCUUGGUGUAGCAGUGAAAUGCGUGGAGAUCAAGAGGAACACUCGUGGCGAAAGCGAGCUACUGGACAAUAUCUGACGCUGAGGCUCGAAGGCCAGGGUAGCGAAAGGGAUUAGAAACCCCGGUAGUCC
rnacentral:rRNA from 1 species